UCCUUGAUGGGGACUCAGCAGCUGUUUCUUCUCUGGUCUGGCAGAGUCCCCUGAGAGGGAGCUGUAUGUGGUCUCAGCAGGUGCUUCCCAAGAGGUGAAACCAAACACCAUCCUCCUGAAUGUGUGGUGUGAACUGAGCUCUACCACCAGGGCUCAGGGAGGGGCUGGGCUGACACUGGGUGGACCCCAUUUGCAUGGACAGUCCUGCCAGCUGCAUAGGGUGAAGGAGAAAAGGAGGCCUGGGGCAGACCAGCCCAUUGUGGGGACCAGGGUCUGUGUCACCAUGGCCUGGAUUCCUGUCCUCCUCAUGCUCCUGUCUCACUGCACAGGUUCCCUGUCCCAGCCUGUGCUGACCCAACCUCCCUCCCUCUCUGCUUCCCUGGGAUCAUCAGCCAGACUCACCUGCACCCUGAGCAGGGACAUCAAUGUUGGUGGUAAAAACAUGUUCUGGUACCAGCAGAAGCCCGGAAGCCCUCCCCGUUAUUUCCUGUACUACUACUCAGACUCAGAUAAGCAGCUGGGACCUGGGGUCCCCAGUCGUGUCUCCGGAUCCAAAGAUACCUCCACCAAUACGGCAAUUAUGCUCAUCUCUGGGCUUCAGCCUGAGGAUGAGGCUGACUAUUACUGUGCUACAGCUCAUGGAAGUGGGAGCAGUUUUCAUUACCCACAGUGUCUCAGACAACAAGGAAGUGAGACAAAAAACCCCUGUACACACAAAGCUUGUCUCUGA